rnacentral:rRNA from 1 species
GUCGAACGGACUCAUAUUGAAACCUAGUGAUGUAUGAGUUAGUGGCGGACGGGUGAGUAACGCGUGGAGAACCUGCCGUAUACUGGGGGAUAACACUUAGAAAUAGGUGCUAAUACCGCAUAAGCGCACAGCUUCGCAUGAAGCAGUGUGAAAAACUCCGGUGGUAUACGAUGGAUCCGCGUCUGAUUAGCUUGUUGGCGGGGUAAAGGCCCACCAAGGCGACGAUCAGUAGCCGGCCUGAGAGGGUGAACGGCCACAUUGGGACUGAGACACGGCCCAAACUCCUACGGGAGGCAGCAGUGGGGAAUAUUGCACAAUGGGGGAAACCCUGAUGCAGCGACGCCGCGUGAGUGAAGAAGUAUUUCGGUACGUAAAGCUCUAUCAGCAGGGAAGAAAAUGACGGUACCUGACUAAGAAGCCCCGGCUAACUACGUGCCAGCAGCCGCGGUAAUACGUAGGGGGCAAGCGUUAUCCGGAUUUACUGGGUGUAAAGGGAGCGUAGACGGCAGCGCAAGUCUGGAGUGAAAUCCCAUGGCUUAACCAUGGAACUGCUUUGGAAACUGUGCAGCUGGAGUGCAGGAGAGGUAAGCGGAAUUCCUAGUGUAGCGGUGAAAUGCGUAGAUAUUAGGAGGAACACCAGUGGCGAAGGCGGCUUACUGGACUGUAACUGACGUUGAGGCUCGAAAGCGUGGGGAGCAAACAGGA